AAACGGGGCGAUCUCCUCAUUUCAAGUAUCAGACAUUCUCAAAGGUAAAGAAGACCCAUUUAGAAAGCAAGUGGUAUUCAAUGUUUACUAUAACGAGGAAGAAUUUGACAUUAAAUGCUCAUGUCGGUUGUUCGAGUUCAAAGGGAUUAUUUGUAGACACAUUUGCAAAGUGCUUAUUGAGAAAAGUGUCAAGGCGGUUCCAUGUGAUUAUAUUUUGGCACAAUGGAGGAAGGACAUCAAGCGUAGGCAUACUUAUGUGCUUAACUGUUAUGAUGACCCACAAACUAGCGAGGAGAAAUUGCGCUACAAUAGAUUGUAUUCUUAUUUUUCCAAAGCUGCUGAACUUGGAGCAGUAUCCAUUGAGAAAUAUAAUUUCUUGAUGAAGUUUGUGGAUGGAGCAAUUGAGAAGUUGAUGGGCAAUGCAAACUAUAGUGAAUUUUAGCCACUUAUGUUUAUGGAUGAGAGUAGUGAGCAACAUCAAAAAUUGUUGACGCCUUUGAAGGUGCGGAGCAAGGGCCGACCGCCAUCAAAGAGGAAGAAGUCAAAGGUUGAAGAAAUAAUUGUUAGAAAUAAAAAAAAGAAGGCCCAAACUAAGAGAAACGAAGCAACUCAAAAAGAUACACCACCUGAACACUGCACACAAGAGAGUGUGGUGAAUUCAAACUCUCUUUCGAUCAAGCGGGAUAUGCAACCUAGUUCUUCCAUGGGUAUUACAAAUGAAGUCAAUGAAUUCUGAUUAUGAAUAGGGUGGAUUUUUGUUUGGUGAUGUUCCUGUACUUUCAGACAUUUCAUUUGGUGAUGAAGGUAUUAGUGUCAAAACAAUUGAAGUUGCAUAUGCAUAUAUGCUUUUAUUUAUGUUUGGC